rnacentral:rRNA from 1 species
GACAGAGGAUGCAAGCGUUAUCCGGAAUGAUUGGGCGUAAAGCGUCUGUAGGUGGCUUUUUAAGUCCGCCGUCAAAUCCCAGGGCUCAACCCUGGACAGGCGGUGGAAACUACCAAGCUGGAGUACGGUAGGGGCAGAGGGAAUUUCCGGUGGAGCGGUGAAAUGCGUAGAUAUCAGGAGGAACACCGGUGGCGAAGGCGGGUCUCUGGGCCGAAACUGACGCUGAGGAGCGAAAGCGUGGGGAGCGAACAGG